rnacentral:rRNA from 1 species
UUGACCUCGGAUCAGGUAGGGAUACCCGCUGAACUUAAGCAUAUCAUUAAGCGGAGGAAA